AGCAGCCGCGGUAAUUCCAGCUCCAAUAGCGUAUAUUAAAGUUGUUGCAGUUAAAAAGCUCGUAGUUGAAUUUCGGGGUUAGUAGGCUGGUCGUGCCACAGGUAUGCACUGGUCUUACUGAUUCCUCCUUCCUGAUGAACCGUAAUGCCAUUAAUUUGGUGUUGCGGGGAGUCUGGAUUGUUACUUUGAAAAAAUUAGAGUGUUUAAAGCAGGCUAACGCUUGAAUACAUUAGCAUGGAAUAACGAAAUAGGACGUUCGAUCCUAUUUUGUUGGUUUCUAGGAUUGACGUAAUGAUUAAUAGGGAUAGUUGGGGGCAUUAGUAUUCAAUUGUCAGAGGUGAAAUUCUUGGAUUUAUUGAAGACUAACUACUGCGAAAGCAUUUGCCAAGGAUGUUUUCAUUAAUCAAGAACGAAAGUUAGGGGAUCGAAGACGAUCAGAUACCGUCGUAG
rnacentral:rRNA from 1 species